AUUUUAUUUAUUUUUUUCUCUCUCACGACGCCCUCCCUCCUCAUCUAAUCUUCUCAUGAACGCCUCUCCAUCCUCAUCUCAUCUUCAUGAACGCUUUUCUUCUCAUCAUCUUCUGUAGCUUUCUCUCAUGGUUUAACCUUUCUCUCUUGCCAAACCUCUCUCACGCUUCCUCCUCUCUCUUGCUUGCCUUCAGGUCCCCACCGGAUUCUCUCUCCCGCGUCUCUCUCUUUCUCGCCGGACCUCUCUCACGAGGAUGGAGAAGAAGCUUACGGAGGAGGAUGUAGACGAACAAUGAUUUUUUUUUUGCUCACUUCCCAUCUCUGUUUUUUUUCUUCUGUUUAAUCAAAAUAUCGUUGUUUUUUUUCUUCUGUGUAGGUGAAGAGAAAGAUAGAUUUGGUUUAUGGUGGAGGAAGUGUCUCUCUCGAAAAGCAUGACCAAAUUGUUUCUGGAAUAGAUCGGAGGAGCUCAAAGUCCACUCGCUUAUGGCCAUGGGGGUUUCAUUCACCUCAGCCACUUAUCCCUUCCUCCUCCAUUGCCGUAAAGCCCUUCAAAGGACGCUAUUGAUGAGAGAGAGAUACUGAUAUUACUAAACAGACUAGUCUCUGGUUCUUUAAGCUCUUGUACGGUUCUAAAAGAACUAACAAACAGCAGAGACAUGGCGAGUCUAAUGGUUGAUGCUGCCACAAGAUUGUCCCAUAAAAGAAACUUACUUGGACAGCCUGAAAGCAGGGUUGAGAGCAGAGCCAAGGCAACUGAGUGUGGUGGGUGCAGUUAGAGUUGCGGUCAGAAGCUCUUUCAUUCUGACUUGCUGAUAAUACUAUAUAAUGUGAAAAAUGUUAUAAAUCAUUGUACAUGAGCAUAAAGCUUUUGUUGAGCUGAUUAUUAAACAUGGUGUGUGGGAUGUAGAUACAACUUGAUGUUGAGAGGUUAAAGAAGUGAAAUCAAAUGAUAAUUUAACUUUGUUUAUGGUCAAA